rnacentral:misc_RNA from 1 species
AGAAAAUUGAGCAUGGAAUAUACAGACAAAAUAGACAAAUGAAUUUUUAGAUUUAUUGUUUUUUGAAUAGCCAAGCACAGAAUAUAUCUGACAAGCUACAAGUAAAAAAAUUUGAGGGUCGACAAAACGAGAAAAGUUAUCCUCACCAUAUUACAAAUUCACAACAGCUGAAAUCAGCAAUGCACCUAAACCAACUCUUCCGACCCAAAAUGAAUGAUAUUGCAACCAAAAGUGGAUGAAUACACAUCAACAUCUCAAAAGUUUACAAACUAUGACCCAAAUACAUCCUGUAUAGGAGACUACUGUGCUUUUUCAAUUGUAACAUUGGGUGAUAUGCCAUCUCUUUUUCCUCAAGAAGAUGGCUGGUAUUCAUUACACUUCAAUAUAACAAAGCAGCUAUAAAUCUCAUCUAUAUCCUCCACCAUAUGGCUGUUGAGUAUAACCACCUGUGCCCAUCAUGGGAUUAUAACCACCAGGCAUGGCUGAUCCAGGAGAUUGCAUACGGCCGCCUUGCCCCAUCCCCAUUACCAUGGGUUGGUUCAUGUUCAUGCCCACACCAAUCCCCAUCCCCAUUCCCAUGGGUUGACCAUAACCGCCCAUGCCUGGAACUCCACCCAUUCCCAUGCCCAUAUUCAUGCCUGCACCCAUU